UUAGCAUUCAGUGUCCAAUUAUGGAUUGAGUUGGGUGAAAUGAGUCUUCAAUGUAACAAGAUUCAAAUCUGUCUGAUUCAUGCCCAUUCCACUGAGAGACCCGGGGGUGUGUUUCUCCUUAGCCCUUAGAAAUGAGAGUAUUUACCUCUUCUCUUUAGCUCUUGUCUUCAGUGGUGUGGAGUUUGGUUCUUUAUUCUCCUGUUCUAGUUUCCAAAUGUGACCUGAGCCCAUACUUGGCAAAUGCUCUGAGGAAAGGACACGAGGAUACCUAAAAAAGGCUCUUCCCACUCUGGAAUUUUAGUUGAGCUAGUUCUUUCUGCUUCCAGAGACCUAUGGUCUCUAACAAUAAAACUUAGGUAUUUUAGUUGUGUUUUUUAACUAAUUUUAGCCAUUGUGCAUUGGCCUCUCCUAACCUACUCCCCUCUGCCUACUCAGGAGAAUUCUUAGGAGAAGAAUUCGCAAUGACUUGACCAGUUUUGCUGACCUCCUGACAAUUAUGAUGAGUUCAGGUUUUCUAGUCUUUCUGUGUUAGCAGAAAAGUCAGGUGACCCUUAGUGGUAGGAAUUUCACUGUUUGUACUCUACCCUCAAAUGCAUCUAAGAGGACAAGGGUGUGAAGUAAAUUGAGUUCUCCUACUAUAAGUCCUCAUUCAUGGCACAGGUUUUAUACCCGUGAUUCCUGAUGCCGGGAUGUACCACGGCUUAUAAACCGCUCCUCUGAACCAGUUCUCCUGAGUACGUUCAAUUCUCUUAUUAACGUAAAACCUCUUUACACAUUUUGUUAUUGAACUAUCACGUACUAGGGAGAGGAGGAACGUACCAACCUCAGUUCAUCAGUGGGAAAACUUAGAUUUCUGAUAGGUAAUCUGCACACAAUGAUCAUUAAUAGGGUUAAUAAUUUCACAAUAUACGUACGUGCUUCUGCCUACACGAGUAACACAUUUAUACUGCUUUUUACAUAGACCCAUCUCAUUUUACCUUUCCCAAGUGAGGUAAGGCAAAGGAUUUACUUGAAAAAGAACACACACUCCCUGUGACAGUGGUUUCCGACCAUCAGUAGAUAGACAUAUUCUGGUUUGUGUGUGAAAGUAAAAAUUUCAAGUCCUCACUCCAUUGAAAUUCAGAUUUUGCGGAUUUUCGGGAAGGUCCAGGAGUCUGAGGUACCACUGGAGACUGGAAAGAAAUCAGAUGACUGCUGAACAGAAUGAAAGCUUUGACAAGAUUUUCCAAAAGGCAGAUGAAAGAUUUUCCCUUGAAGUUCAUCUGGGAUAUGAAUGAAGAAUAGAUUUCUUAACAAUGCACAAAUAUUUUUACGAAACUUCUUUCAGAAGGAAAUAUAUUGAAUUGUACCCUUUCAUCUUUGAUUGUCAUUGGCUUAUUAUUGAAAAAGCUCACUGAUGAAUAAAUAUUCAUAUGCCCACACUACAUCGUUUGCCAUCCGUGGCCUGUUUCAAUUUGCUAGGAUUCCUCACUUUCUGAUCAGAAGAGGUUUCCUCUCUUUGUGUCGCAGUGUAAUUAUGGAAUAGUUUUUACCUUAAGUUCAGAAAUUCCAAAGCCUUGAACCACAAAGGAGACCGUAACAUGUGAUUGAUUUGACAUCUUAAAAUGGAAGCCGUGUCAUUUAUAAAAAACUACUUAUGGUCUUUUUUCAUAUUUAAGAUUUUAAUUCUUAGGUAAUCAAAUGAGUCAGCCUUUCAUUUUAUGGCUUCUAGGAUUUGUGUCCGACUAGGAGUGUUGCUGUCACAAGUAUUUCCAUGUAUUCAUAAAUCAUUUCUUUAUUUAAUCUUAAUAUCUAUCUUUUGUUGUUAGAUACCUGUCAAUUUUUUUUCCUAACAGAGAGCCAAAUGGCCCCAAAUCAUUUAUUGAAUUCCCAUCAUUUUCCUACUGAUUAAAACAGACAUUAUCUUGUUCUACAAUGUUGUACGUACAGACAUUUUCUUAUGUAAAAUGACCUAUUUUCUGUCGAUAUAAUUUUCUUUUUUGUGACUAUGCCCUAAUUUCUAACAUAGAUUAAGAAACCAAUAAAUCGUGAUGCAUUGUGUUGGAAUCCUGCUAAGUGUUGCUUUACUCCUAAAAUGUCACAUAAAAAUUGAGAUCACCAC